rnacentral:rRNA from 1 species
AUUGAACGCUGGCGGCAGGCCUAACACAUGCAAGUCGAGCGGUCGAGCGAAGCUUGCUUCUCUUGAUAGCGGCGGACGGGUGAGUCAUGCCUAGGACUCUGCCUCGUAGGGGGGAAUAACGUUCGUACCCGGACGCUAAUACCUCAUACGUCCUGCGUGCGAUCGCAUGGGACCUGCGACCCUUGCGCUUUCACAUGAGCCUAGGUCGGAUUAGCUAGUUGGUGGGGUAAUGGCUCACCAAGGCGACGAUCCGUAACGGGUCUGAGAGGAUGAUCAGGCACACUGGAACUGAGACACGGUCCAGACUCCUGCGGGAGGCAGCAGUGGGGAAUAUUGGACAAUGGGCGAAAGCCUGAUCCAGCCAUGCCGCGUGUGUGAAGAAGGUCUUCGGAUUGUAAAGCACUUUAAGUUGGGAGGAAGGGCAGUAAAUUAAUACUUUGCUGUGUUGACGUUACCGACAGAAUAAGCACCGGCUAACUCUGUG